CAAAUGUAAUAUCUGCUGUUUAAGUGUUUUUUUUUUCUGUAAACAGAUGCUGGAUUAAACCGGAGAAAGGCUUUAUCUGGAGUUUUCUAGGACCUGUUUGCUUCAUUCUUGCAAUAAACAUGAUUCUCUUCAUCAGUAUCUUCAUCAGUGUGAAGUUAACUCUCAAAAACCUCAACCUUGACGUUUCACACAUAAGACAAACCAAGAUUACUAUUUUUAAAAUUCUGUCCCAGUUUGUGAUUUUUGGUUGUCCCUGGAUUCUGGGUUUCUUCAUUCAUUACAGUAAGAUGUUUGAGUUUCUCUUUCUAAUCCUGAACUCACAGCAAGGAACCUUCAUCUUCCUCGUCUUCUGUGUCCUCAAUAAUGAGGUGAGACAACAGUAUGUAAAGUGGAUGAGAGCUGUCUUUCCCGGACUCGAACCAAAUACCUUAUAAGAUGCCCCCACCCAAAAAAAUUAUUACAGUUAAAUAUAACUACAUUUAACGUUUAUGCAUUCAUAGUCUUAUUUUCUGUAAAUGUCAUUGAUAAACAUUCCAUAAUUUAUACAAUAAUGCAAAAAUACAGUCAAUGUAAAUACAAUAUUUACUCUUGUUUAGGGAACAACAUUUAAAACUGCUAGUCUGCUUUUGCUGCAAUAGAAACCACAGGUGUGUUUCACUUAAUGUGACACUGAGCAGACCGAUUGCUACAGUAUUUCUAAAGCUUA